rnacentral:lncRNA from 1 species
GAAGAUCUAAUCCCAUAUUAAAUUGAAAAGAUACAACUUCUACACACUAAAAUUCACUUCAGUCCAUGUUGCCAUCGCUUCCACAUAGGACCCCCUACAAAAGUCCACACCUUUUCGGCCAGGGAGAGAGAGAGAGGUAGACAUAUGAGAUUGAUAGUGAACCCGCUAAACGCUAAACCGUGGCUUGUUUCGGCAGAGAGUUACAAAAAGGGACGGAUUCUCCCCCCCCCCCGGCACGCAUCCUUGACACCACGAUACACGACAACCUCCUUGUCCAUACUAGCAUGAAACAUAACCGGGCACGAAACGAAUCACAUAAUAUGCAUUGCACAUCACGUUGACGGUGCAACCACAUCUAAUAAGAUCCUGAUGCCCAUGCCUUCACAUAUCCUGUUGUAAAACUCACAUUCGUCCAAUUUAUUAUCCUUUUUCCGCAUUGAAGAUCUAAUCCCAUGUUAAAGAUAGAACUUCUACACAACAACAUUCACUUCGGUCCACGAUGCCAUCACUUCCACAAAUAGGACCCCCUACAAGUCCACGCCUUUUCAGCCAGAGAGAGAGAGAGAGAGAGAUAGAGAGAGAGAGAUGUAUAGAGAUAGACAUAUGGGAUUGACAGUGAACCCGCUAAAUGCUAAACCGCGGCUUCUUUUGGGCAGAAAAUACAAAAAAGGCGGGACAGUUUCAUUCCCCCUACACGCAUCCUUGACACCACGGUACACGUCAACCUCCUUGCCCAUAGUAGCACGAAACAUAACCGAACACGAAAAGAACCACAUGAUAUGUAUUGCACAUCACGCUGGCAACACAAUCACAUCUAGCGAGACCCCGACGCCUACGCCUCCGCAAACUCACAUCCGCCCAAUCAACCGUUUUUGUUUCGCACCCGAGAUCCAAUCCCACAAUAAUAAAAAAAUAAAUUAAAAAGACACAACUCACCAACCCAACCAAAAUCCACUUCACCCCCACCCUAGCGCCACUUCCCCAAACCACGGCUUCUUUCGGCAGAAAGUUCUGAAAAGGGGAUGGUUCCCCCCGGCACGCAUCCUUGACACCACGAUACACGGCAACCUCCUUGUCCAUACUAGCACGAAACAUAACCGGACACAAAAAUAAUCACAUGAUAUGCAUUGCACAUCACGUUGACAAUGCAAUCACAUCUAGUAAGAUCCUGAUGCCCAUGUCUUCACAUAUCCUGCUGUGAACUCACAUUCGUCCAAUUUAUUAUCUUUUUUCUGCAUUGAAGAUCUAAUCCCAUAUUAAAUUAAAAAAAUACAACUUCUACACACCAGCAUUCACUUCGGUCCACGCUGCCAUCACUUUCGCAAAUAGGACCCCCCCCUAUAGAAGUCCACACCUUUUCAGCCAGG